AGCUUUGCGCAGUGGCAGUAUCGUAGCCAAUGAGGUUUAUCCGAGGCGCGAUUAUUGCUAAUUAAAAUUAACAAUAAACAACUAAUGUGUUCAUACAAUAUAUAUUUUUAUGAAUAUUUAUGAAAGCAAAAAAAUAUA